AUUCACAGCUUACCUCUUCUUAAACCUUUUUUGAUGUAUUUUUCUAACCUUUAACCCGAACACAGGGCAUUCCCAAGCAGAGAGGCUCUAAUAGUUGUGGGGUGUUCAUCCUAAUGUAUGCUGUCUACAUCGUCUUUGGCCUCUCUUUUGACUUCACAGAGUCGGACAUGAGCAUUGCAAGGCGAUGGUGGUCAAUUCUGUUGCUGGACAACUUUCCACCAAGGCUGUCAUCUGACAAAAGCAGAAAAAGGAGGCAGAUAACCAACACAGCAGGACAGUGUGCAGUGGAGGCCCUGACUGUGGAGGAGUCCCCCCCCUCCUUGUAAAAGACCAACUGUGGAGACCACAAACAUCAUGUCAGACCUGACAACUGCAGUGGAGUGGACAAGGCGCCAUAUGACGCGGUUCCAG